UCGGCGUUUACACGUGUGUGUGUGUGUGUGUAUGUGUGUAUCUGUGCGUAUUCGAACGUAUGUAUAUGUGUGCGUCGAGUGCAGCAGCAGCUGAGCUAAGUGCAAACCCCAAAACUCGCUCUAUCUAUGCGUAUGUUUCGUGUUUGUGUACGUGAGAAUGCGCGCAGCAAAAGCAACAGCGAAAAAAAUUCCGGUUGUGAAAAAAUACACACAUACACACAUGAAUAUGCACACAGACGGCGGUUGAUAUUGUGAUGGCAGUAUGAGCGAGUGAGAGCAACAAUUUGCAUAACAUUUGUCGGCAGCAGCGAAGACAACGGAGUUGCCACACCGCAAAAACACGAUGCAAACAUUUGAAGAACACGAAACAACAACAAUAACGACAGACAACAACACAUCGGCAAACAACAAAAACUAGAAAGCAAAAAAUAUAUUUGCAGUUUUGUUAUUCUUUGCGUUGUGGCAGCAGCAACAACUGCUGAUAAAAACCGCAACGUGUGCGCGAGCAAAGAAGCUGAUAAGCGCAAAGUUGCGAUGUCUAUGUAUGUAUAUAUUGAAGGCGCAUUUCAAAACAAGCGCGACAUGCAUACAUGCAAACUAUGUAUGUACAUCAUGCAGAUGUGUACAUAUAUUUAUAGACAUUCCCCCCACCAACAACAGCAAAAAUAUAUUAAGAGGAGGCGACGUCACAGCGCCCAAAGUGUAAUACGUGACAACGGCGACGUAACAUAGAAAAGCAUAACACACACAUGUUCAUACACAUGCAAGUACAUGCAUACUUAUGCGCAGCGUACAUGUUUUUACAAAUAUGGCAACACUAAACAAAGCAGCCAGCUGCUGUUUGUGUGAGGACUUUACCAACACUGGUCACCCACCCAAUACACCGCAAGAAUGCAACACAUUGUUGUUGUUUUGAUUACGAGGCGAAAGUGGCCAAACAGCAACUACAAGAAACAACAAACUAAAAAUCUGUUUGUGUGUGUGUGUUUGUUUCCUUGACGUGCGCUACGUGCCGAGAGCACCGCAGUGGCAUCGCCAAAGCAUUUCCAAAAAAACUAAAAUACCAAAAAAUAUAUACAAAUCUAGGUCAUAUGCACUCGUUUAAUGGUUGUCGACGCCGCCGCCGGCGUUGCGCAGUCGCUGCCGUUGUUUUCUUGUUUACAAAAGAUGCAAAGCUGCGCAAAGCGUGCGGUUAGCAGGCAAAUUUAUUGCGCUGUCUCUGUGUACGAGUGUGUAUGUAAGAACAGCUUGCAUAAAACUCAUUUGUGUAUGUGUGUGCAGAUUUGGCUUCCUCUUCAUUUUACACCAAUCAAAUUUCAUUGCAAAACAAAGACUGUACUUUGUGAUUGCGAUAAACUUAUUGCGAUUGUUUAGACAAGAUAGGAAGGGGGCGGGGGUGGUUAGCGAAACGAAUUGCGUGGGUUGGUGUGGACAGCAGCACCAUCUAUUAUUAGAUUUAGCCGUCAAAGAUGUUUGUUUAUUAUCACACACACAUACGCACACACACAGCGACAAACGCAAAAUCGAAGACAAACAUAAUAAACGAUGACCUUGUUUUUGGUUCGGCACGCAUAAAAAUCAACUUUCCUACGUACACAAACGCAUGUUCGCAUGUAUGUGUUGCGUCUACCGAAAGUGAAAGACAGGCCUGUGUGUCUUAUUGGAAUUCUCAUAAGAAUGUGAAAACAGCAAAAAUCAAAGCAAAAAACAACAACAGCUAGGAGAGCACUAAACAGGUUGCUGACAACGUCGCAAAGAUUUUCACAGCAGCAGCAACGUCGUAAUACUCCAACAACGACUAAAUACAACUAAAAUAGAAAGUAAAAUCUUAAACAACAAAAUGCAACUUUGUUUUGGGCAUUUUUUUUGGCUUGAAUAACCACACGCACGAUUUACAAUUUAUGCCCAGAGUAGAGCAACAGUAGUCAGAGCAGCGACUGUGAGAGCAAACCAAAAAUGGAAGUAGGUUGCGCGCUCUCUUGCUCACCUGUGUGUAAGUGAGAUGUGCUCAUUUUGGCACGAAAAGAGAGUGACAACAACGACGCUGGUUACAGUGUAGUGUGUGAACGAGAGCGCUAUAGCGGUUAGCUCGUUUUAGCGCAUAGCCUGUUAAGUAAUAGACUGAAUUCUCUUUGUUUAUAUGUGUGUGAGUGUGUGUAGAGUAAGCGGCAACCACCAUCUGUGAUGCGCUUGCAUGUAUGUAUGUAUGUUUCUGCUUGUAGAGAAAGCGCGCGCAAACAAAUUCACUAAUUAAAAGAAGGAAAAAAUAUAUAACAUAAAUGACAGCGGUAGUUAGUUAUGCCGCUUUAUAAACACUCACUCACUCACACAUAAACACACUCACUUCCGCACAUAUGGAGUCGUUUGUGAACGAGGUUAAGUUGCCGCCAUUGAAAGAGUUCAUUGUUGGUUUUUUGCGGCCGACGACGAAUCGUUUGAUUAGCAAUACGAAGGUCAACAACAACAACAGCAUUCAUAACCAAAACGUUCGGUAUUUGGCAACAUGGAUUCCAAAAAUAAGCAAUAUGAAAUGCAGCCAGCAUGUUGUUUUCGAAAUAUGUAUGUAUUGCGUGUGUUGCGGUCACACUUAGUGCUUGCACCGGCAAAUAAUUCUUGGAGCCCAAGAAGGAAAAGGAGCACUAGCGGCGGGUAACAGAAUCAUGGAAAUGGCAUGCUCACGAAAUAUUGUCUCCUCACCGUUGGAGACACGUCUCUCGGGCAUGGAGGAGCAUGCGAUCUUUAUAUACAUAUUUAUAUGUUGCUAAAGAAAGUCGCAUCCGCGUUUCCUGAGCUUAGUCAUCUGACGUUGCCUAAUGCGGCCAUGGACUGCAGAUUUGCUUGGAGAUAUUGAGCAAGCAUGGCACGACGGUGCGAUUUGUCAUAACCGAUCUGGAAAUGCUAUUGAGGGGUUUCCCCAGUGAUAAUUCGUAUUAAUAUACGAGUAAGCUGUGACUGAUGUUGGAUACAGGCGGUGCUAUCAUGUCUUUCUCUAGGGCUUGGAGCAUAUGAGUCACAAGUUUCUGCUGCUCAGCAGCAGGCGAACAGACAAAACAUUGUCAGUCUGGAUGCCGCUGUCGGAUUCGUUUCAAAGAGCUGGCAACAGACGGCAAAAGUUUGGAUCCUGGAAAACAAGAUAAAUCUGUGCCCUCGAAGCUCUCAAGAAAUUUAAGCAUUUACGUACGGCUCCGUAAAACGAUGACGCAUCUUCCUCAAUCUUUCAUCAAUAGCUAGGAAUGUUGCAAAAGCCAUUAUUCCGUACCCAAGUACGAGUUGAUGCACUGCGUGCUGAACUCGUUGAAGCCACAAAAACAAUAUAAGCCCAUUUACACUGAGAAUGAGAUUCGAACUUUGUGAUGCCUUCUGACGAUGAGCUACCACAAUCCUCAAAUCUGCGCUAUCCGCUAUCCACCCUAGAGCCACCAAAGCCAACAAGCAAGCGCAAAGUUCAACAGCGAGCCAGAGAUCGAAGAAUCAGGGUCUGAAUCACCUUCCUUGGCCGCUAUUCUAACGACAUCCGUCGAAACAGAUCAGGAGGCGGCGCCUGCAGCGGAUCACGAGGCGGAAAAGGAACAAGAGUCGCAGCGGGAGGCAGAGCAGAAAGUUGAGCAGCAGCAGCAACUGCAAAGGGAAGUGUAUAAUUCCAUGAAUAUGGUUGCGCUCAAAAGCAACAGCCAGCAACAACAAUUUCCAUACAUUUAAAGAUACUUUCGUUUAGUUGUAAGCGUUACAUUUGAAAAGUGUUUAAUUAUAGUCUUUUAAUUUGUGUACAAUUGAACGUUGAGCUAUUUAUAAGUUCCAGCUGUCUAACUCAACUAAAUGCAGAUAAAUGCAAAUAGAUUGGAGGCUGCUACAAAUUAUAUACGAACUGUAUAGGUAUUAUAUGAACUUAUAGUCCGAUGAUUAUAUAUAACUUCUGCAAAUAAUUUAAAUUUUUAAAAGAAAAUUUGACAAUUGAAAAAAACAUGUAUUAAUUUUCUACCAUCAACAAAAACAUGUUUCAUUUUUUUAUUGUUUAUAUUUUUAAAUUGAAUUUAAAAAUUAUAAGUUUACAUAAAAAGUUACGGACUUAGAUUGAAAUAGAUUACAACAAAAUCAUAUCACUUAUGAUUUGCAAAAUUAUAAAUAUUUAGGAAAUUUUACAUUAAUUCAAAAUAAAAUUAAAUAAAACCAUGA